UUAAAAUUAUGUGGCUCUCAUUCAUUCUAUAUUAAAAACUAAAAAACAAAGGUGUGGCUUUCAUUGAUUUGUUGUGUAUACAAAUAGCACUAGUAGACUAGCAAAGCAGUGAAGCACACUGCACACAGUUUGUAAACUAAAAGUUGAGGCUCAGUUGUGUCUUUUGAGAAGUGAACAACAUGUAGUGAAUUUUUUUUUUAUUUCUCUUUGCGUGGUGACCAAGUUUUAGGCGGGUUCUAAAUUUUUUAGGUUUUAUUUUUUAUUUUUUAUUAUUUUGUAUUGGGUAAAAUUCAUACAUAAUAUUUUAGGUGUUAUUGCUUAAGCUCCUCUCUUAAGAUUCUUCUAUGUGGCUACUUAAUUUUAAAAAUACACUUCUAUAAUGAAAAAAAAAAUCACAUUAUAAAAUCUUAAGAAAGGGACCUAAGGAACAUUAUCAAAGUAUUGUAGUUAAGUUUUACUCUUUUUUAUUUGUGUAUAUAAAACAUUGUUAUUCUCUCUUUCUCCUCCCAUAGACAGACCCACGCCUGUCAACCUCUCCCAAAAAGACUGGAUUAGCAGGAUAUUGAUUUUGGGAUUAGAGAAGGUGUUGAUUUUAGGACAUAGCUUUUGGGAUUGGAGAAGGGUUAAGUUUGCUUGGCUUUCUGCGAGGUAAGGAUUUUGGGCCUUUUAAGACUAGUAUUAAGUUUUUUUGUUGCUCUAGGGUUUUGUAUUCUAAAACUUAAAUUGAAGUGUACAUGUUUAUCUGGAUUGGAAAUCUUAUUUAAUCUUGUUUAAUGAAAUUGGUGAUACUUGAUAUAUCUGUGGGUUGUUUAUUUGGAGCAAGCGAAUGGCUUGCAUGUUGUUAUAUGGUGAUUAAGUUGAUAUUGGGAGUGUUGAUUUCUUUGUGUAUAUCUUUUAAGUUUUGAAGUAUAUCUAGAAUUGAAUACAUAAAGUAUUUAUCAAUUUUUAAACUUUUGAUUCUUUCUGGACUAAAAGUAAAGGAGUGUAAGAAUGAAAUUGUGACUCCUGAUAUGAUGUGUCACUCCAAAGUAUAUUGGAGGUUUAGAUGCUAGCUUAAUCAUGUAGGUGAGGAAUAUAAACUCCAAAAAAUAUAUAUAUUGAAUGACGUACCCCAAAAAAGGUGUUCCCAUGAUUUUAGACUAAAACCUGUAUAGUUUUAUUAUUAGCUCAGCUUACAAUAGGAAAAAGGAGAAACAAAAUAAAUAUAUGAAAAGGGCUAGGCUUAUUGGCUUAGUCUUGUAGUUGUGGGGUACCCUAAUGCAAAACCAAGGUGCACCGAAUAGUUUAAACUGGGCCACUAAUUUUUCACGUGUUUAACAUAUAUAUAUAUAUAGAAAUGAAUGCGCCCACAAAUAAAAAAGAAAAGCAGAGGUUUUAUAUAGUGAGUGUUUGGAUCCACGACACGUUUUCACGUUUGCCUUUUUUUUUUUUUUUU